rnacentral:rRNA from 1 species
CCUACGGGUGGCUGCAGUGAGGAAUAUUGGUCAAUGGACGCAAGUCUGAACCAGCCAUGCCGCGUGCAGGAAGACGGCUCUAUGAGUUGUAAACUGCUUUUGUACGAGGGUAAACGCAGAUACGCGUAUCUGUCUGAACGUAUCGUACGAAUCAGGAUCGGCUAACUCCGUGCCAGCAGCCGCGGUAAUACGGAGGAUUCAAGCGUUAUCCGGAUUUAUUGGGUUUAAAUGGUGCGUAGGCGGGCGGAUAAGUUAGAGGUGAAAUCCCGAGGCUCAACUUCGGAAUUGCCGCUGAUACUGUGCGGCUAGAGAGGAGUAGCGGUAGGCGGAAUGUAUGGUGUAGCGGUGAAAUGCGUAGAGAU